GUGAAUCAUCAAAUCUUUGAACGCAAAUUGCACUCCCUGGUAUUCCGGGGAGUAUGCCUGUUUGAGGGUCGGUAGAAGAAAAAUCGAAGCAGCGCUCGGUUUUGAGGGUGAUCGCGGCGGAAUUGAGCCGGCGUUCAAAGGUUAAUUCAUGUCAAAGUGGCUUAAAAUGCAUCCAUUCGGUACGAGUAAAGCGUAGUUAAGAGCAAUUUUGAUUAAGAACGCGCGAUGACGUACCAUCGCAUGUAGGACGUUUGACCUGGGUGAUCAGGUUCAUUCGUAUACGAUACGCAAAC
rnacentral:misc_RNA from 1 species